CCCUUAGAUGUUCUGGGCGGCCCGCGCACUACAAUGGCGCUUUCAGCGAGUUCCUAUGUUGAAUUUUCCUUGGUAUUCUUGGAAGCGGCGUCUUGACUUGGGAUAGAUCCUUGUAAUUGUUGGUUUUGAACGAGGAAUUCCUUGUAAUCGCGGUUGAUCAGCUCGCGUUGAAUACGUCCCUGCCCUUUGUACACACCGCCCGUCGCUCCUACCGAUUGGGUGUGCUGGUGAAAUGUUCGGAUCGGCCGUUUGUCGCGGUUUCCGCGUCAUGUGGCUGAGAAGUUCAUUAAACCCUCCCACCUAGAGGAAGGAGAAGUCGUAACA
rnacentral:rRNA from 1 species